rnacentral:rRNA from 1 species
AUUGAACGCUGGCGGCAGGCCUAACACAUGCAAGUCGAACGAGUGGCGGACGGGUGAGUAAUGUCUGGGAAACUGCCCGAUAGAGGGGGAUAACUACUGGAAACGGUGGCUAAUACCGCAUACUAUCAGAUGUGCCCAGAUGGGAUUAGCUAGUGGGUGGGGUAACGGCUCACCAAGGCGACGAUCCCUAGCUGGUCUGAGAGGAUGACCAGCCACACUGGGACUGAGACACGGUCCAGACUCCUACGGGAGGCAGCAGUGGGGAAUAUUGCACAAUGGGCGCAAGCCUGAUGCAGCCAUGCCGCGUGUAUGAAGAAGGCCUUCGGGUUGUAAAGUACUUUCAGCGGGGAGGCGUUACCCGCAGAAGAAGCACCGGCUAACUCCGUGCCAGCAGCCGCGGUAAUUC